rnacentral:misc_RNA from 1 species
GUUCUUCUGAAAGAAAAAAUUGAAACCCAUUUUCCUGCUUUGCAUGAAAGAGGUGGCAAUGUGAAUAGUAGCAUAAUGAGUUGUAAACUUUUUCAUGGAGCAAAAAUCACAGGCUUUUCGUUUGGACAGAAACCAUAUAGCCCCAUACCAGGAACACACAUAAUUAGGUUGAUGAAUUGCCCCAACAACCCUCUUAAAAGUCCAAACGCUCUUUGUGGAUAUGAAUCAGAAUCAUCAUUAUCGCUCUCCCUCAACCAGUCAUUAUUUUGGACACUUACAACUGUGUCAUGUGUAAAGUGCAGGAAUGGAACAGUAAUCUAUAGAUGCCAAUACCCGAAUGCCCAAAACUCCAAUGAUGGCUAAAGUGUACCGUGAGUUGACACCUCCUUUCUAACUCUAUCUGUAUUCUUGUAUUGAGUGCUUGAUCAGACCAUUUCCCUUGUUGCAUUACCCAGACCUGAAAAAAAAAUAAAGGAAAAAAAAAUAGGAGAAUAUCAAUAAGUUGUCUAGUACUAUGUGAAUGAUAAAUAUAGAUUUCAAA